rnacentral:rRNA from 1 species
AGUGAACGCUGGCGGUAGACCUAACACAUGCAAGUCGAACGGCAGCACAGUAAGAGCUUGCUCUUACGGGUGGCGAGUGGCGGACGGGUGAGGAAUACAUCGGAAUCUACUUUUUCGUGGGGGAUAACGUAGGGAAACUUACGCUAAUACCGCAUACGACCUCCGGGUGAAAGCAGGGGAUCUUCGGACCUUGCGCGAUUGAAUGAGCCGAUGUCGGAUUAGCUAGUUGGCGGGGUAAAGGCCCACCAAGGCGACGAUCCGUAGCUGGUCUGAGAGGAUGAUCAGCCACACUGGAACUGAGACACGGUCCAGACUCCUACGGGAGGCAGCAGUGGGGAAUAUUGGACAAUGGGCGCAAGCCUGAUCCAGCCAUACCGCGUGGGUGAAGAAGGCCUUCGGGUUGUAAAGCCCUUUUGUUGGGAAAGAAAAGCAGCAGGUUAAUACCCCGCUGUUCUGACGGUACCCAAAGAAUAAGCACCGGCUAACUUCGUG